rnacentral:rRNA from 1 species
GGGAAUGUANUAGCAAUUGUAUUUGCACUAAAAUUUUUAGUGUGAAAUCGACUAUGUCGAAUAAAAUUCUGGGUAGAAUUAUGAUAAUGACAUAAUCUGUCCAUAAGUCUUGACCAAAUUACGUGCCAGCAGUCGCGGUAAUACGUAGAAGACAAGUGUUAUUCAUCUUUAAUAGGUUUAAAGGGUACUUAGACGGUAAAUAAAGCCUCAAAAAGGUACUAGUUUGCUAGAGUUUUAUGUGAAGGGGUUUUAAAGUACUACUGGUGUAGAGAUGAAAUUCAGUCAUACCUUGGAUGGCACAGGUUAAGGCGAAGGCAUCCUCUUAUGUAAAAACUGACGUUGAAGGACGAAGGCUUUGUGUCUCGAACAGGAUUAGUUACCCUAGUAGUCUAAGCAGACAAUUAUGAAUGUCAUAGAUUAGAUAUAGUUUGAUCUAUAAAUGAAAGUGUAAGCAUUCCACCUCAAGAGUAAUUUGGCAACAUUGGAACUGAAAUCAUUAGACCGUUUCUGAAACCAGUAGUGAAGUAUGUUGUUUAAUUUGAUAGUCCGCAAAAAACCUUACCACAAUUUGAAUAGAUAUAAUUUAUCAUACAAGCGUUGCACGGCUGUUUUUAGUUAAUGUCGUGAGAUUUUGGUUAGUUCCAUUAAAUUAACGUAAACCCUUAUUUUAUUUUUAAAUAAAAUAGUUCACCGCUAGAUUGGAUGUGAUUAACA